CUCUCUCCGUCUUUCUCUCUCCCGUGUACAUCUCCGUCUCACUCACUCUCUCUCGCUCUUCCUCCCUUAUUCUUAACUCUCCCGUGAACAAUCUCCUCUCACUCCCCCUUUUCUCUCUUUUCCUCGAUAAUUUAUUGUCUGGUUUUUCUCUAUUUCCCUAUGUCUCUCCCUAUCAAGACAACAUCGCCUAGAGCUUUAUGCUUCGAUGAGAUAAGUUUCUGUAAAUCUUAACCCUAAAUGCUAACAUUUUUGCCUUUCUCUCUCAUCUCUCUCGUCUCUCUUCCAUAUGCAUGUCUCUCUUUCUACCUCUUGUGUCUCUUUCACUUCCUCGCUCUUUUCCCCCUCCUCCCUCUGUCUUGACUUCUUUCCCCCCUCAUCCGUCUCUACUUCUCUGUUAUUUAUUUAUUUUUGUUUAUAGGUUUUCCUCUUUUCUGGUUUUGUGUGCCUUGGUCUCCGUGGUGGUGGCAGUGGAGGCGGUGGCAUUGUCAAUGGGACUUCUAAGUUUGGCCUCUUUGGAUGGUCGACGAAACCGUUUACAUGGGGAAAUCGGAUUUGCUCCUCAAUACGCCUCACAUUGACGGAACCGUUUACUCUGUCUCCAUCUACUCGAUCGUUUAAUUAAGAGAGUAAAUUUGAAAGAGAGGGAAAGAGACAGCGAGUUGGUGGUUCCCAAGCCGAGUGAGUUCUGCUUGCAUUUUGAUUUCGUCGUAGACAAAGCAGCAGCAACGGAAUAAAAUGGAGGCAAAGUGACUCUUGAGUGGGUUUGGAUUGCAGUUCGCAGAGAGCCGACAUGCUGACUCACCAACCAACACAACCCACAUUCGAAAGGGCAUCAUUUCAGACGUGCCGUGAAGCGAUUGAAGGCUUGGGGUUUCUCUACAUUUUCACCUGCCUCCCCUUCUCCUCCAUGUUUUUUCUCAAAUCGGCUCCAAUAUCCGUCACGUCCCAUCUCUGUCGCUGUCUCUCUGUUAACAUACCGGACCACCUGUAAACCAACGGAUUCCAAUUUCAUCUUCUCUCUCUGAUUCUCUGUAGGCAUGGGGUUUCUUUACAUUUUCAUCCGCCUCUGCUUCUCCUUCGUGUUUUUUUCUCAAACCGACUCCAUUACCUAUCACGGAUUCACCACCUUUGUCUCUCUGUUACCCCUACUAGAUCACCUGUUAACCAACUGAUUCCAGUUCCAUCUUUUCUCUGCUUCUUUGUAGUUUCGUUUCGCCUGUACUUGGUUGGGGGUUAGCAUGGGAGACCAGCAUGGGCUUUUUUUUUUCAUGUCUUUUCUUGUUAGUAGACUAUUUUAUUGUUUUUUCUUGGUGAGUUUUGGUGCAGGUGUCAAGUGCCACAACCACCUUUUCUAUGACAUUCUCUUCAUCUAUGUUUAUUGUAGAAUAUUACCUUCUGAAGCGUUUCUCUCGAUAUGAUAAGUAAAACCACUGUAGUCUCUAUCAUUAUUCUUGAUUCUGUUCUGCCCCUUUUUGAAGGUCGAGAACAGUUCUUGACCCCAAAAAUAAAGAGAGAAAAAUAUGUAUUCGGGUGUACAUAUGAUGAAGUAUUUAAUUUACUAUUUAUAUUCUAUUUUUGAAUCCUUUUGGGCAGCUCUCUACUUUGUUGUUGUGGCAACCGUUGCUGCCUUUAUAGGGCAACAUGUAGUGAGGAGGCUUAUCAUUGUAUUAGGGGGGGGCAUCCCUCAUCAUCUUCAUCCUCUCCAUCACAAUCUUUGUCACUGCAAUCUCACUAGGUAGAGUUGGUAUAUCAAAUAUGAUUUAUAAGAUCGAGAAGAAUGAGUACAUGGGUUUUGAGAACCUCUGCAAGUUACCAUCAAACCCCAAUCUCCCCGUGUCUAACCUGUGAUACAUGGUAUCUUCCUUUUAUUUGAUCCAUUUUGUAGGAAUUUUAAGAUCUCAACUCUUCAUCGUACUUCUUUUUUGUUUGUUCUGGUUUUUUCGAACAUGCAUAAUCCGUUUUUCAGGUAUUUUAUGAUCUAGCUUUGCCAAAUGGUUUCAGUUCUCUGCUUGGGUUUCUAAUCCAGCCCCUGCGAAGUAGGGGCCCCCUCAAUCUAAUGCCUUCUCAGCGUUUAGGAAAUGGGAUCCUCGCGUGUGAGGCCAUGUGAAACUUUGAAUGGGUAUGUAGUACGUGUGAGAGGGAUACAAGAGAAAAUAGAGGUAAGGUUGAUUGUAUAUUUAGACAAUGAGUUUCCACGUGUCAAAUUGGACGAUAAUACAUGAUCUUAUAUAUAUACUAAAACCAAAAGGGCAUAUGGACGAUGCCCGAGCAUUCAAAAAAUGGAAUCUAACGCCUUCUCACCAUUUAGGAAAUGGGCUUCCAGUUGGAAGAUCACCUUACACUAGUCGUGUAGCGAGCCGAACCAAGUUGCAAGACAAAUGAUCAAAGAACCUGGGGUUGUUGACUUGGCGAGGUCGCUCCGAUGCUUAAGUCAGUAUUGUAUUCUGGUUGUGAGUUGAAAGCUUGAACGCUAGAAUGCUAGUGAGCAAGUAAUCGUGCGUACUUGAGUCUUGGGGGUUGAUGCCCUUGUAUAGCUGGGCGGCCGUAGGUCUCGUGAAACGCUCCCAGAAUCUUUGUCCUGUGACGUAGGAAUCCAUUAUGCUUUGGAAGGGGGGUAACGCAUCAAUUAAUAAUGUUUACCAUUUCCCUCCGAUUUGGGUGGGGUAAAGUUGAAGCCUACAGUUAUGCAACAUGAUCCCGAGAAGUUUGGAGACGAUUGUCGCUCCUAACUUCAGUUACAUGGCACCUCGGUGCAAGUGGGUACCGAGGUGCUUCAGGUCCGAAGUGGCCGAGCUCUCAUGUUCCCGAUCUAUUGACGUGGUACUAUAUGCUGAUUUGUCAUUUGGUUGGUAAGCUAUCCUUUACAUAUUAGGUCGGGCCAAAUCACUCCUCAUCAAUUGUCUUUCACUCUCCGUACUAGGGGUCCUGACCCGGUGCGGGGACUUCAUGGCGAGCCCAUGUGGAUUUUGCACGACUUCUAGGCGAUUUGGAGGGCAGCUCUUCGAUCGUACCUUAAUGACCCAUUUGGCUCGACUAGGGAAUACCCAGAUCGCGUACCGAGUAUGCGCAAACACCAUGCAAUUUAUAAACUCUACAGACGUCUAGACGUGUGUUUAACCAAUUUCAUUCUCGGGAGGCGUGUAACCAGUUUUCAUGGGAGCCAUCGGAUCAUGCAGAUCUUGACCGUUGAGUCCCGAUCGCGAUGGUUAUAAAUAAGGGGGGGGCCCAUUUUUUUCGCCACAUACUACAUACUCGAGUCUGUUGAAGUCGCGUUUCAUUCUUCCAGGUUGGUGUUAGUUGCCCUUGCAUCCGAGGUCUUUUCACUUCCUUCAGCUUUUCCUCUUAGCUCAGAAUGUCUAGUGUUAGCUUAGGUAGACUUUUUUAUGGGAGUGAAGAGUCAAUCGGGGCCGAGGUGGGCACCUCGACGUAAGCUGUAAAGUCACACCCUGCCGAGGUGAAUGCCUUAGUGUAGGGCACAGACUCCAACCUGUCCGAGGCGAACUCAUCUCGGCAGGAGUGUGAGGCUUUCGGCAAGGGGGCCUCCACUUUGCGUUGAGAUCGAGGACCAUACAGCUUUGGUCCUUCCAUGAUGACAGCUGACAGACUCCUAUCUUUGGUAGCUCGGUACAAGCUGCUUGUUAACCUUGUAUACAACAUUCCAUUAAAUAGUUUUCCUUGGGAUCACGGUCAUGACGAGAUCGUGGUGUUCGAAGAAUAGCUUGUAGCCGGGUUGCGAUUCCCACUUUACCCUUUCAUCAUCGAUGUCAACAAAUUUUUUGACAUCGCAACAAAUUAGCUCCAUCCCAACUCGAUCCACAACAUUGUAGGUACUAUUUCCCUUUUCCACGAUUAUAACCAACCUUUGACCCUGACAUUUUUUCUUCGAUUUACACCAUCAAAAAGAACAACGCUUGUGUCCUCCGGGAGCAUAGACGAAAUUACUAGAUGUCUCCUUGUCCUGGUUACAAAAUUUUGUACGACCUCCCCAACAAAGUCCUGGCCUGGAAGAGGCGCUAUUUCGUAGUUCGUAAUACUGUGGGGUGGUCAUUUCCAACCCGUUGGAGGCCUGCCAUUCAGGACCCUGACAUCAAGUUGGACAAAGAGACACAGGAGGAAGUUUGGUCUUGGGCGAAGCUCGGGUUGAAGUUCAAAAAAUUCAUGUUCGAAGAGAAGCUCGUACAAGUCGGACUGAGUCCUCCUGGCAGGUUGCCAUCUUAAUGCUAUUAGAUAGUGUAUGCCCU